GUCUACUUGAGGGUACUAAAAUCGUAGAUACAUGUGUUGUCUUGCAUAUAGUAUUGUGGUGCUUUCCUUUUAUUGUAAGAUUUGGUCUGGGAUGAAGUUACCCAUUUGGACCAGCUUGAUUCAGUUUUGUGUUUUAUUUUAAACGGGUCUCUGAUGGAU
rnacentral:snoRNA from 1 species